CUACGGGUUGCUGCAGUGGGGAAUAUUGCACAAUGGGCGCAAGCCUGAUGCAGCCAUGCCGCGUGUAUGAAGAAGGCCUUCGGGUUGUAAAGUACUUUCAGCGGGGAGGAAGGGAGUAAAGUUAAUACCUUUGCUCAUUGACGUUACCCGCAGAAGAAGCACCGGCUAACUCCGUGCCAGCAGCCGCGGUAAUACGGGAGGGUGCAAGCGUUAAUCGGAAUUACUGGGCGUAAAGCGCACGCAGGCGGUUUGUUAAGUCAGAUGUGAAAUCCCCGGGCUCAACCUGGGAACUGCAUCUGAUACUGGCAAGCUUGAGUCUCGUAGAGGGGGGUAGAAUUCCAGGUGUAGCGGUGAAAUGCGUAGAGAUCUGGAGGAAUACCGGUGGCGAAGGCGGCCCCCUGGACGAAGACUGACGCUCAGGUGCGAAAGCGUGGGGAACAAACAGGAUUAGAUACCCUCGUAGUC
rnacentral:rRNA from 1 species